rnacentral:rRNA from 1 species
GACGAACGCUGGCGGCGUGCUUAACACAUGCAAGUCGAACGGAAAGGCCCUGCUUUUGUGGGGUGCUCGAGUGGCGAACGGGUGAGUAACACGUGAGUAACCUGCCCUUGACUUUGGGAUAACUUCAGGAAACUGGGGCUAAUACCGGAUAGGAGCUCCUGCUGCAUGGUGGGGGUUGGAAAGUUUCGGCGGUUGGGGAUGGACUCGCGGCUUAUCAGCUUGUUGGUGGGGUAGUGGCUUACCAAGGCUUUGACGGGUAGCCGGCCUGAGAGGGUGACCGGCCACAUUGGGACUGAGAUACGGCCCAGACGCCUACGGGAGGCAGCAGUGGGGAAUAUUGCACAAUGGGCGGAAGCCUGAUGCAGCAACGCCGCGUGCGGGAUGACGGCCUUCGGGUUGUAAACCGCUUUCGCCUGUGACGAAGCGUGAGGGACGGGAAUGGGUAAAGAAGCACCGGCUAACUACGG